rnacentral:rRNA from 1 species
AGCAGCCGCGGUAAUUCCAGCUCCAAUAGCGUAUAUUAAAGUUGUUGCAGUUAAAAAGCUCGUAGUUGAAUUUCGGGAUCAAUAUGUUGGUCGUGCCUUGGUACGUACUAGUUUAUUGGUUUCUUCCUUCUGACGAACCGUGAUGUCAUUAAUUUGGUGUCUUGGGGAAUCAGGACUGUUACUUUGAAAAAAUUAGAGUGUUUAAAGCAGGCUCACGCUUGAAUACAUUAGCAUGGAAUAAUGAAAUAGGACGUUUGAUUCUAUUUUGUUGGUUUCCAGGAUCGACGUAAUGAUUAAUAGGGAUAGUUGGGGGCAUUAGUAUUCAAUUGUCAGAGGUGAAAUUCUUGGAUUUAUUGAAGACUAACUACUGCGAAAGCAUUUGCCAAGGAUGUUUUCAUUAAUCAAGAACGAAAGUUAGGGGAUCGAAGACGAUCAGAUACCGUCGUAGUCUUAACCAUAAACUAUGCCGACUAGGGAUCGGAUGAUGUUAAUUUUUUAAUGACUCAUUCGGCGCCUUACG